UCCCUCCGCGCCACCACGCACCCCUUCCCCCGAGGCGCCCGCCGCUUCGGCCCUCUGCGUCCCUUCUCUGCUGCCCCCCGCCGCCCCACAGGGACAGAGUGAGCAGUGGGUGGGAGCGGCCUCGUGGGGCAGGGGGUGGAGGAGAGGAGGUGACACUCUGGUGAGGAGAGAAGAAAUUCUUCCCCGCAUACAGUGAGUGCUGAAUAGCUCAAUGAUUCUCAAAAAUUGUCCCUACUAGAAUCCCCUGUGGAACAUAAAUGGAUGAAACCAAUACACCAGGAUUAGAAAUGACAUGCAUUUCCAUGGAAAUUACUCUAAAAACCUAUUGCAGAAAAUAGAGAUUGAAAUCCUUUUAUAGAAUUUUAAACCGAUGGAAUUUAACAGAGACGUAUACACCUGCCACAGAAUUCCACAUGUUGUUUUGAAGUUCUAUAGCAUGAAUGUAAUUGCCUAUUAAAUUCCAUAAGAUUCUUCCCAUAAAGCUUCCUCAGGUGCUAGUGGGACUGGAAAGUACUUCAUCAUCUUCAUGUGAAAAGAGUACAGCAUCCUGCUUCUUUCCAAAUACAAAAUGUCAUUUCUAAUCCCGUGAACCAUCAACCAGCCAUGCUUUGAGGGGAAGAACUCUGAGAUUGGGGUGAAGGAUCUUCCUGCCUUCCGAAGAGAGAUGAGGAGCAGUCUGAAGAGUGACUGGUGACUUUCAGAAAACUGGAACAAAUAGUGGAUAUGUACUACAGUAACUCCCCCUGCUGACCAACCAUGAUAUUGAAGAAAGCAUAGGGGGCACUUCCAUCUCAGGAUAUAAACAGAAAACUGGCUAAAAUUUUGAGAAAGUAACAAUUUACCUGCUACCUGGUUUAUCAGUCCAGUUUGAAACCCAAUUACAAGCAUAUGGGAUCCUGAUUGACUCAGAGCAAAUCAAGACAUUCUGAUUCACUUUGUUUUUUUUAAAAAAAAGUAAUUAAGUGGACAUGUAUAGUUUGCCCCGCAACUUUUCACUACUAUGUUAUUCUUCCAAAGAAGACCCAUUAAAACUCAUAAUGGACUCUGGAAUCUUAUUAAUUUACUGCUGGUAAAUACUGUCAAUUGCGGUUUGAAAGGUCAUAUUGAAUUCUAGAGAUAAAGGUGUUAUUAAGCUUGAGAAAUCAUUUAUAUUGGAACCCAGACUAUGGUACAUAGAUAAUUAAGAUGGGUGCCAAUUUUCCUUAUUAUAAAACUUUAACCAAGAUGUGUCAAAUUCAGGCCUGGUCUAAGGAACAACUGCCAUGGAAGGGUCUAAUUCAGCAAUGUAACUUUCAUCCAGAGAUUCAAUUUGUAGAAACACAUUUAAGCAGGGCUUAUUACACACCUUGAAAGUUACAUCUCACAGACCACUUUACCUUCCCCCUCCCAUUUAUCAGUGGGAAAACUACCUCCUUUCUUGUAAUGAUCAAACAACCUGUGCUACCCACAGCAAUUGUUUAUAUGGAAAAUCAGUAUUAUAAAAUUUUUAAUGUGGAUAACUGUAAUGUGAUUUGCUAUCUUGGGAGGGAAAAAAAGCAGAGCUAGCAUCAUAUGACUAGCCCGAUGUCCAUGAUCAUGGACAUUGACAGUUUGGGAACCCUGGCUUUAAAGACAAAUUGUAACCAAAUGCUUAUUUCUGUUAAGAAAACAAGACAAUUUUUAAUUUGUUUUUACAGACAUACAAUAAAUAUGAAAUAUACAAGACAAAAAUUUCACACCAAUUGAUUGUAUUACAUAAGCAGUUCAUUAGAAUACAUGAUGUUUUCUUUUUCAUUAGCCCUUUCAUAAGGUUUGGUACUGGAUAUUACCAAAUGUAAAUCUCUAUCAAUACUAUUUUCUCCCAUUUUCAUCAUAAUAUAUAUAUUUCAAAUAAUCACACAUGUACUGAUUUUUUAAAAAAUAUAUAAGCAGUGUCUGAAAUUCCUAAUAUAUGCCAAUAAUUUCUGUGUUUUAGGCCUGUACAAGUUCUAAAAUAUUUCAUUGUUUAAUCUGUUUUUGAUUCUUGUGGAUUAAAAAAAUACUAUGCUAUACUUUUUACUUCACCAAAACCCCUAAGAAAAUGAAUAAAGUGUCAGACUAUGGAAUUCCAUGUUAAAGCUAAUAUUUGCUUGCCAUGAACUAAUGACUGAGUUCUGGUCUUUGCUACUCCAGAUUUAUACUAGUGAAAUGAAAAGCACAAGUUGGUGCUAAAGUAGGGGACUACCUUCCAGUUCCUAAGAAGACAUGUGUCUUCAUUUCAGAAUCAUAGAAUAUCAGGGUUGGAAGGGACAUCAGGAGGUCAUCUAGUCCAACCCCCUGCUCAAAGCAGGACUGAUCCCCGACUAAAUCAUCCCAGCCAGGGCUUUGUCAAGCCUGACCUUAAAAACUUCUAGGGAAGGAGAUUCCACCACCUCCCUAGGUAACGCAUUCCAGUGUUUCACCACCCUCCUAGUGAAAAAGUUUUUUCUAAUAUCCAACCUAAAUCUGCGCCACUGCAACUUGAGAGAGUUACUCCUUGUUCUGUCAUCUGCUACCACUGAGAACAGUCUAGAGCCAUCCUCUUUGGAACCCCCUUUCAGGUAGUUGAAAGCAGCUAUCAAAUCCCACCUCAUUCUUCUCUUCUGAAGACUAAACAUCCCCAGUUCCCUCAGCCUCUCCUCAUAAGUCAUGUGUUCCAGUCCCCUAAUCAUUUUUGUUGCCCUCUGCUGGACGUUUUCCAAUUUUUCCACAUCCUUCUUGUAGAGUGGGGCCCAAAACUGGACACAGUACUCCAGAUGAGGCCUCACCAAUGUCGAAUAGAGGGGAACGAUCACGUCCCUCGAUCUGCUGGCAAUAUUUAGAAUAUUUAUAACGUUUUCUUGGAUUUAUAAUCACUCAGGAAAUCAUGGUUACAUGUUCUUUUCUGCAUGCAUAUUUUUGUUAUUGAAUGGAAAUCAGAUAAAAUGCUACACUUCUAUUUAUCAAAAAUAGAUCAAGAUUUAAAACCCUUUGAAACCAGGAUUUAUUUAUUUGCAAAUGCAAUAUGCAUCAGUGAUCAGCAAUUGAGGCUCUGGUCUCAUCAAAGGAAAAUGGGUUAAAAAAUUUUGCAGCACAUGAAUAUUUCAUACAAGAUGUAUCCCUGGAACUUGCUGUGCUUUGAAUUAUUAGAAAGAGUCUGGAAACUUUAAGCACUUUUGUACAAGUAUACACUAUUUUCAUCAGUUACACCUAGUGGUUUCACUAUAGUUUUGCAGGGCUGUCUGCCUUAGAAUCCUGGUUUCUGAAUUCAUUUCAUGAUGAAGAGCGCUGAAAUUUAGUACAAAAUGUUAAUGCUCUAAUGAGCAUUAACAUUAUUAUGUUACAGUUAAUAAUUUCAUGGGUUUUUCUCAUCUUUAAAUGCUAAACUUUUAAAACCUACCAACCUCUAUAGACAAAAUAAUGAUUUCCAAAACAUAUUUUUGUUUAAAGACCACCCCAUAAACCUCCACCCCAAAAGCCUCAGGUAUCAAAGUAUCUCUUCCAAGAUUCAUUGUGCUAUACUGUGUGAAUUUUAAAAUCAUAACUCCCCACUGAACUCAGUAUGUUCUACUUAGAAGUCAAUGUAACACUGUGACCAAAAAAUGACUACUUUUAAUAUAGCUGUGUCUAGAUUGCAUCACAACUGGCAAUUAACUUCUAAAUUUAAUAUGCAUGGUAUUUACUAGAAACUAGAUCACAGUUUUAUAUCCUAGUCAUUUCAUAUUCAAUCAGAUAAACACAAAAAACUUCCCAUGUACAUUUUCUAGUUAAAUGAAAUUUCUAGCCCUAACUUUCCAGCGGCUCAACAAGGUUUUGCUCCUUCCAAUGAAUGUGCUGUUUUUAUAUUAUUUUAAAUGAUCACCUUCCUUCCUUCUCUCCCAUUUUGCAACUUCCGGAAGGAGACUUUCCACUCUACUGUUAGCACUGCUGUUUCUCAAGCUGAAGGAAAUAUAGGCAGCCAAUGCAAAGAUAACAGCUGCAGGCACAAUACAAUCUCAGUAGCAUAAACCAACGAGCAAACUUCCUGCUGCAUACUGACCCAAGUGCAAACAGAGCAGCCAUACUGGGAAAUCUGUUAAGAGAGACUUGAGGCUCAAGUCCACGAGCGCACAUAUAUUGAUGUUGAUACUGACAAUUAAUCCUUCUAAAAAUGAAUGAUAAAUCCUACUGAAAUGGAUAGGAUCCCUUACACCACUGAUUUAGAGCCCAACAUUAUAACAACUGGAGCCAAAGACACCUAAGACUCUACAUAAUAAAGCUGCUAUUGUCUUGGGUACAAGAGAAUAAUGGCUUGAGUGAACAGUUAGAAUGCUAGGGUCACUACAUUUUUUACUGCAUCAAGUCCCAUUGGCGGAUACUAUGCAAAAUCCUAUUAAAGUAAGACUAUUCCAGAGGUAUAUUACACAUGGAAAUACUGUGUACGAAGAAAGAUCAAGCUGCUUGUAAGAGCCUUAUUUCAAUAAAAUUCUGACUCAAAACCCACUGGAAAACCAUGGAAAGACUGCCAUUUACUUCAGAGGGCUUAAAUUAGUUGGGGAAGCAACUUUGCUGAAGAAAAAAUUGAAAGGACAACCUGACUGUACUUUACUUUGCAAAAAAAAGGUUACUUACUUUCUCGUAACUGUUGUUCACGUCCAUUCCACAUUAGGUGUGCGCACACCGCACAAACUUCUUCCCUUAGCAGCUCCUGUCGGGCCGGCGGGAUCCCCCAAGUGAUGCCACUGCACCGUGCAUAUAUACCCCCCGCCGGCCCAACCCCCUGCAGUUACUUCUUGCCAGCGACUCCGACAGAGGGGUAGGAAGGUGGGUGGUGGAAUGGAUGUGAACACCACAUCUCGAAGAACAACAGUUACGAGAAAGUAAGUAACCGUUUUUUCUUUCUUCGAUUCCGUUUACGUCCAUUCCACAUUAGGUGAAUCACAAGCUUACCUCUGGAGAAGGGUAGGAGUCACAGAACAACCGCUCGGAGGACCGCUCUGCCAACUGCCACGUCUUCUCCAGCCUGCUGGUUGACCACGUAGUGGGUUGUGAAAGUGCGCACAGAGGACCAGGUGGCUGCUCUGCAGAUCUCCUGGAUUGGGACCUGUGCCAGGAACGCCGCUUGCAUCCUGGUCGAGUGGGCCGUGACCGCCGGGGCUGGAACCAGAACACCUGCGAGCUCAUAGCACGCCUGGAUGCAGCUUGCAAU